GCAGACUGUGUGGCAGCGCUGUACAAUUACGGUGAGGAAAGUCCGAGCAUCACAGAGCAGGGUACCUGCUAACGGCAGGCGGAGGCGACUCUAGGGAAAGUGCAACAGAAAGAUACCGCCGGAGCAAUCCGGUAAGGAUGGAAAGGCGAGGUAAGAGCUCACCGGAGCAGGGGGAACCCUGCUGCCAUGUAAACCCUAUCCGAUGCAACAUCGACUGGGAGGCUAUCGUUGGCUCGACGCUCCCGACGGAUGGCUGGAGUGCUAUAGCAAUAUAGUACCAAGAUAGAUUGUCACAAAAACAGAACUCGGCUUAUAGGUCUGGUC
rnacentral:RNase_P_RNA from 1 species